rnacentral:tRNA from 1 species
UUAAUUGAAGCCAAAAAGAGGCCUUUCAUUGUUAAUGAAAAAAUUGACUUCCCGUCCAAUUAAA